rnacentral:rRNA from 1 species
GGCAUAACCCCGGGAAACUGGGGAUAAUUCCGGAUAACGCAUAUGUGCUGGAAUGCUUUAUGCGUCAAAUGGAUUCGUCUGCCCAAGGAUGGGUCUGCGGCCUAUCAGGUAGUAGUGGGUGUAAUGUACCUACUAGCCAGCGACGGGUACGGGUUGUGAGAGCAAGAGCCCGGAGAUGGAUUCUGAGACAUGAAUCCAGGCCCUACGGGGCGCAGCAGGCGCGAAAACUUUACAAUGCGGGAAACCGUGAUAAGGGGACACCGAGUGUCAGCAUCAUAUGCUGGCUGUCCAGGUGUGUAAAAUACACCUGUUAGCAAGGGCCGGGCAAGACCGGUGCCAGCCGCCGCGGUAACACCGGCGGCCCGAGUGGUGAUCGUGAUUAUUGGGUCUAAAGGGUCCGUAGCCGGUUUGGUCAGUCCUCCGGGAAAUCUGAUAGCUCAACUAUUAGGCUAUCGGGGGAUACUACCAGACUUGGAACCGGGAGAGGUAAGAGGUACUACAGGGGUAGGAGUGAAAUCUUGUAAUCCCUGUGGGACCACCUGUGGCGAAGGCGUCUUACCAGAACGGGUUCGACGGUGAGGGACGAAAGCUGGGGGCACGAACCGGAUUAGAUACCCGGGUAGUCCCAGCCGUAAACGAUGCUCGCUAGGUGUCAGGCAUGGCGCGACCGUGUCUGGUGCCGCAGGGAAGCCGUGAAGCGAGCCACCUGGGAAGUACGGCCGCAAGGCUGAAACUUAA